rnacentral:lncRNA from 1 species
AGAAAUUUUUCCCAUCUGCAUGGGGCCUUAUGUGUCUCACCCACACGGGCGCACGCAGCCAGCACGGGACGUAUGCCAGUGCACACAUCCCAUCCACGCGGGGCGCGAGGCGUGCAAUCCGCGCGCGUCACAUCAUGCACAGACAAGCACGCAACUUCGCGCGCACUAUGCACAUGCCUAUGCACGCAGGCCCUUAGCCAGCACGCGCCACCUUUUAGGAGGCGAGUGUUGUCGUUUGACUAGCGCGCCAUUGUCGUUUGGGUAAUGGGCCUUUAAUUUUUGUACCACCAUCGCAUUAUUGUUCUCUCGUCGAUCGUCCAUCAAUCACACCUGUCAGUCGUCGUGUCGCGUUAGGUCAUUUUUUUCCCUCCCUCUUUCCUCACAAAUUUGUGCUACUUGACGAAA